GGGCAAUCUGCCCUCCGAUGGGGAAUAACCCCGCGAAAGCGGGGCUAAUUCCGCAUAAUAUUCCCUGGACCUCGGUUUGGGGAUUCAAAGCCGUAAGGCGUCGGAGGAGGAGCCCGCGCCCGAUUAGCUAGUUGGUGAGGUAAUGGCUCACCAAGGCAAUGAUCGGUAGCUGGUCUGAGAGGAUGGCCAGCCACACUGGAACUGAGACACGGUCCAGACUCCUACGGGAGGCAGCAGUGGGGAAUCUUGCGCAAUGGGCGAAAGCCUGACGCAGCGACGCCGCGUGGGGGAUGAAGCUUCUCGGAGUGUAAACCCCUUUCGACUGGGACGAAUGCCUCGCAAGAGGAGUGACGGUACCAGUAGAAGAAGCCCCGGCUAACUACGUGCCAGCAGCCGCGGUAAGACGUAGGGGGCCAGCGUUGUUCGGAAUUACUGGGUGUAAAGGGUUCGUAGGCGGUGCGGCAAGUUGGGAGUGAAAUCUCUGGGCUUAACCCAGAGGCUGCUUCCAAAACUGCCGUGCUCGAGUGUGGGAGAGGCGCGUGGAAUUGCAGGUGUAGCGGUGAAAUGCGUAGAUAUCUGCAGGAACACCCGUGGCGAAAGCGGCGCGCUGGACCACAACUGACGCUGAGGAACGAAAGCUAGGGGAGCAAACAGGAUUAGAUACCCUGGUAGUCCUAGCCCUAAACGAUCAGGACUUGGGGUGCCGCCCGUUCGGGCGUCGUCCCGGAGCUAACGCGUUAAGUCCUGCACCUGGGGAGUACGGUCGCAAGACUGAAACUCAAAUGAAUUGACGG
rnacentral:rRNA from 1 species